GGGCCCGCACAAGCGGAGGAGCAUGUGGCUUAAUUCGAUGCAACGCGAAGAACCUUACCUAGGCUUGACAUGUGACUGCACGCCCGGUGAAAGCCGGGUUCCUUCGAGGGUGUCACACAGGUGCUGCAUGGCUGUCGUCAGUUCGUGCCGUGAGGUGUUUGGUUAAGUCCACCAACGAACGCAACCCCUGCGUCCAGUUGCCAUCGGGUAAUGCCGGGAACUCUGGACGGACCGCCCCUUCAAACGGGAGGAAGGUGGGGAUGACGUCAAGUCAGUAUGGCCCUUACGCCUAGGGCUGCACACGUGCUACAAUGGCCGGUACAGAGGGACGCAAGACCGCGAGGUGGAGCAAACCCCCAAAACCGGCCCCAGUUCAGAUUGGAGUCUGCAACCCGACUCCAUGAAGUUGGAUUCGCUAGUAACGGCGCAUCAGCAUUCGGCGCCGUGAAUACGUUCCCGGGCCUU
rnacentral:rRNA from 1 species